CAGGGAUUGCCCUAGUAACGGCGAGUGAAGCGGCAACAGCUCAAAUUUGAAAGCUAGCCUUCGGGUUCGCAUUGUAAUUUGUAGAGGAUGAUUUGGGGAAGCCGCCUGUCUAAGUUCCUUGGAACAGGACGUCAUAGAGGGUGAGAAUCCCGUAUGUGACAGGAAAUGGCACCCUAUGUAAAUCUCCUUCGACGAGUCGAGUUGUUUGGGAAUGCAGCUCUAAAUGGGAGGUAAAUUUCUUCUAAAGCUAAAUAUUGGCGAGAGACCGAUAGCGCACAAGUAGAGUGAUCGAAAGAUGAAAAGCACUUUGGAAAGAGAGUUAAAAAGCACGUGAAAUUGUUGAAAGGGAAGCGCUUGCAAUCAGACUUGUUUAAACUGUUCGGCCGGUCUUCUGACCGGUUUACUCAGUUUGGACAGGCCAGCAUCAGUUUCGGCGGCCGGAUAAAGGCUCUGGGAAUGUGGCCUCCACUUCGGUGGAGGUGUUAUAGCCCAGGGUGUAAUACGGCCAGCCGGGACUGAGGUCCGCGCUUCGGCUAGGAUGCUGGCGUAAUGGUUGU
rnacentral:rRNA from 1 species